rnacentral:lncRNA from 1 species
GUGAAUUUACGUUUAUUUUCUAUUUGAUCUUUCAAAUCUCAGUGGGCAGACAGAAACAGAGAGCAAACUGAGGUUCAGGGAGGUACCCAGGGACAAUGCAAAACUUCAACUCUGGUCUUCUCUCUGAUGAUCUGACACCCUUCUACGUCACCACACUAAUCUUGUCACAUCAGGCAAGGCAGGAAAAUGUCAGGUAAGAAGGAGAAAUAGUGAAAUGUGCACAUGUUCCUUUUUGUUGCCCUCCAAUCAUGAACGGAGCUCCACUCAGGACUUCAGUUUAAUCUCUCGCUUGACUUGGAAAGGAGAAGCAUGUGGGGAAGCGCUGUUGGUGGCCCAUUUUUGCAACGUAGAGCCUGUCUCCUGUGAGAGACCCAGAAGCUCCUUCUUUGAUAAUUAGUCUCCUGCCUCGGUCAGAGCUGUUAAGAACUCUGUAUGAACUGCCACCACUUGUGGGUGUGUGGAACCCCGUGAGCUUCCUAUAGCUACAGCUGCAGGUGACAUUUUGAGACACUUCUGCAAGGCUUUCUCAACUUACCUUAAAGCAGUGGUUCUCAGACUUCAGUGUGCAUUCGAAUCACCUGGAGGGCUUGUUAAACCAGCUGGCUGGGCUCCACCUGGAGAGGUUUAUUCGUUAGGUCUGGGAUGCAUCCUAAGAAUCUGCAUAUCUAACAAGUUCCCAGGUGAUGCUGAUGCUGCUUGUCCUGAAGACACACUCCAAGCUCCACUGGGGUUUUUAGCUGAAAUGGGUAUGUAAACACCCUAAGUAAAAUGGAGAAACCAAUGCAGUGAAUUAUUGAAUAAAUAUUUGUCAUAUAUCACAGAGUGCAGUGUAUUAUGUGAGGCGUUUGGGGACUAUUUCAGCUAAAUGUGUACAAUUCCGGCCACCUAAGAUCUUAAUAGUAAUUGUAAGACAGUGUUUUUGUUUACCAAGUAAUUUGAAUAAUCUCUUAGAGCAUGUUAUUUAAGAAAAUUCUUCUCCCUCUUGUAUAAAAUACUAAUCUAAU